CAACAGUCUCCUAUAUGAUGAAGAUUUUUCUCAAGAACCGGUAUUUUUAGGAAGAGCCGGAAGAGGUAUGACAGGAUACCCAAUGGGAUCCUCGUCGUCGAUGCUUAUAAUGGUUCUUCUGAGUGGAGUUAAACU
rfam:Aspergillus oryzae RIB40 DNA, chromosome 1.